GGCCUCCGCUUCCUUCCUGUGGCUUCUGGAGUCUUCUAGAUGUAAGAUAAUUGCGCGGCACGUUAAUAUCUCUAUGUAAUCCCGACGUGUGGGCCUUUCUUUCGUAUUUCCUGAUAACCCCCUGCAGAAAUAGACAAACACCAAAACUCGUGGAAUUCUGUCAGAUAAAACCCUAAGUCUAGAUGUUGAUUUCAUUUGGAUCCUUUUCUUUGUUUAUUUAAUAAUUAAAUUUGAUACUUAAGGACCAUCAACAAACUCCCCCAAGCUUACCUCUUGCUCAUCCCUGAGCAAGGUUAGACUCAGCAAUGUAUCAGAAGUUGUUGCAAUAUCUUAAAAAUUUGAUGGUACACAUGCUUUUAAAUAAGAUCUCAUCUCUGAGUUAGAGUAAACUGUCAAGAACUAAAACUUACUUACUUUACCUUUCACCAUGGGACUUGUAACCGUCACUUCUGUCUUGAGCAGUUAAAAGAUAGAACAGUCUAGCCAAGUGCCAUGUCUCUUAUUCUUGAUCAACUAUAGCUCUGGAGUUUUUGCAGAUUUUCAAAUAAAACUCAGAGAUUCCUUGUAUGACUCUCUAAAUCUCUCUUUUGUGGUAUUUUUGGAUCCUUACUAAGGCAGUGAUGGUAUAUGCCUUCUCUCAAGAUAUGUGGUAUUUGCGGUAUAAGGCAUAGUGACAUUGCCUUCUCUCUCAUCCUACUCUAAUAAGGCUUUAAUAUCUGGAGCUCAUAGGUGGGAGAUAAAGUAUACAUACUUACAAGACAUUUAUUGUAUAGUCAAACCAUGGAUCCAAAGAAACAAAUCAAUAAGCCAAAUCAAGAUGUGCAUGUGUGGCAAAUGAAUGGUGUAUGGUGAUGAUGGUGAUAACAAUGGUGAAAGUCUAAUUCUACUUUUGCUCUUUUGAGGGGAUACAUACCUUCCUUGCUUUUUGAAACUUUAUUGAGGAGAAUGAGAUGCUCUUCUUUUUCUUUCCUCUCAGGUGGGUAUCUUGUACCCCUAAUUCUACUGUCGGACACUUGUCCAUUUUUACCUCUCGUCUCACUUUUUCUUUCUUUCGAGGUUCCGGGCACUUGCCCCUUUUUAUUUCCUCGUUUAUUAUUUUUUUCUUCUCUUUUCUUUUUUUUCAGAGCACUCAUCUCUUGAGAUAAUAUAGCAAGUGGUAGUAGCAAGAUAACUUGAGCAUUUAUUUUACAAGGGAAAACAGAAAUAUUUUUGGCUAUUCUCUCACGGAUUAGGAGUAGAAUAUUUUUGGGUGGUUCUGGAGAUGGACAUGGAUGGAUAUAUGUGGAUGGUACUUCCAGAGUAGAAGUAGCAUAUAUGAGUGAACGUGCAAGUGAAUCUUGAUUUAACCACAUGACAAGCUCCUAAGAGUCUACACAGCUUGACCACACUCAAUGCUCAUAAGCAGUAAAUAGUAAAUGUGUGGCUCAAAGUCUAGCAAGCAUGUAUAUAUGGCUGUGGUAGGAAUUUAAACUCUCAUCAUACAGGAACUCAUCAUGCAACAUUUUAAAGAUUUUUCAAAGAUAAAAUUCUCUAGAAUUCUAGCAUCUUUAGGAACAGAUAAACAGCAGCUCAACCUUCCCAUAUCAUAUCCGUUAACAACUUAGAUUUCAGAUCAAGUUUUCAUCUCACAAGUUUAGAUCUAGAGCAAGCUUUAAAUUAUAACAGUUAUGUCUAAACUUGAGAGAGAACUUCAAAUUUGCAAAUUAGGCAGAGCAACUAUUCAUCAUAUCCAUGCUAGAGUUUUAUUAUUAAGAUUCAGAUUAGCAUAACCACUUUAUUUAUUUAUUAAACACACUAAGCAAAAGAUAUAUAUAUAAGCACAAAAUCUUUAUUUGGUUUUUCAUAGUUUAUGUAUUUUAGUAUUCUAACAUAAUAUAAGUAUAAAGAUAGGUAGAAAUACUUAGCGAGAUAAAUGGGGGUGCUCUCCCCCAAGCUGAAUUUUGACGUAAUUUCUCUUGAUGUAGCUAGCAGGUGGCAGAGGUGUAUUUGAAAGUCAGCAGCAUUCUGACAGCGAUUAGAAUGUCCUCCGUCUGCUAGUCUUCUUGAUUCUUAAAUUCUGGGGAUCUCAAAUAGACAACAAAGCUUGUGGAACUAAUUAAGUGUUAGCAUAAAUAUCUAGCCUUCAUCAUGUUGAGCUUCCUCAAUAAAUAUUACUCCCUGUUUUUAUAUUUUUAUUUUAUAAAGCAGAAAAGAAAUAUUUAUUUUAUUUUUAUGCCACCACAGUGAAGGUACUUAUGGGUUUUAUGCCACUCGUAUACUCACAUGGGGCUUAGUAUUUUUUAACAUUUUUAUUUUCUUUUCAAGAUAGCAGGAUUAACUAAUAAUCUAUUUAAGGAAAGUAAAUAAUUAAAGGGAAAAGGAAAUGCAGAAAGGAUAAAUAUGGAUAACUAUCGAUCUUACCUUUCGGCGAGGGUUCAAUGUUUUAAGUCUUCUUAACAAAACUUCUCACCGUUUUCAUUCUUCAGGUGCGUCAUUUGAUUCAGGUGCGGACCUUGACGUCUACACCUCUUCGUUUGCCCAGCAGUUCGAAGUGCGGCGUUGGCAGUGUCCUGCUCAGUGUGUUUGUGCUUGUAGAUCUAGGUCCUUCACUUGGUAGAGUCUGAUAGUUAUAAAACUCCUCCGUGUUUUGCUCGAAGUGUACCUGCUCAUAGAGACAAGGCAGAGAUCAAGUGCAUGGGUCCUGUUGGUGGAAAACACCAAUAGAACCUAAAGUGUAUUUGUUCUUCUCUAACCCUAAGAAUAGUGAGCAAGACAAAGUUGAUGGAUGAAAAGUUCAUGAGUGUAGCACUUAUAACAUUUGUCAGAUCAGAUCACUCAACCUUAUGGAAAGAUAAUCUAUCUAUGUAUAUGUCUUUUUCUUUAUAUCUCUCAAUGAUUGAAUGUGUAACAUUUUAGCUCAUAUGAUUAGGAGUGUGGGAUCAUGGAGGUAGUACUAAGAACAAGGAUUAAAGGACUAAACAUGUUGAAUCAGUUGGGUUGGUUAAUCUAGAGUUGUAAAUCAUACAUGUUUGUGUCUUUUUUUAUAUGAACGCCAGAACCAAGGAGAAGCUUAUAAAAGUGAUAGUCAAGUACCUUAAGAUGUUACCUUGCUUGAAGAGUGAUGGUACAGUAUCACCUUGUGGAAGCUUUCCUUUCUUAGCGGUUGUGCAUCGUGUUUGUGGCACCCUCCAUGGAUCAUCUCUCUAUGAGCUAUGUCCUUCUUGUGCAAAUUGUUAAACUUUAUGUGUCACUCUCUUCUUCUCUGAUGUGAGUUUAUCUCAGGACUUCCCAAAUCGAUAUUGAAAGUUUUUCUGCAGGGGUUAGUCCGACAAAAAUAUACCAAUGUCUACACAAGCAGUUUUUAGUUCAAUAACCGAACUAGACUCCAUGUCUAAUCAGAUUAAGGAAGGUUGUUUAACCUAAGCACCAUGCUUAAUUUAAAAGCCAAUAGAAGUAUGUGCAGUACUUCCAAACUAACACUUACUAGUAAAUAGAUAAAGGUAACACGACAGCAUUUAUAGAGAUCUACUCAAGUGGAGAUGAAGUAGUGUGAUUAGUAUUUAACAAAUUGAGCAUGUCUUAAAGGUAGGGACAACUAACAUAGCAACAUGGCAAAGGAUGUUUUUAUGUAAAGUACUCCCCCAAGCUUGAAUUUUGCAGAAUUCAAGUUUGGAUGAAUUUAAUUCAGUGUUGCAUGAUGAUUGGUUGGACAUACCUUGUACUUGCUUGUCAUUCAUCUGAUCUUCUUGUUCCAAUCCUGGAAAGGUUAGUGACAAGAAUACCCGAAGGAAUAUUUUUACAAUUAUCCUUAUAUGCUCAAUACACAAGGUAAUGUUGCAAAUAAUUAAAAACUCAUGUUAUGAUCUGAUCAGUGCUUAUUUUAGGACACCAAGCUUGUCGUUGGGAAACCAUCAAUUUAUGUCGGUGAAUUUGUUUCCCUUCCAACGCUGACCUAAAUCAAGAUCAACUGAACGAGAUCUGCAAUAUUUAUUAUAGACAUAUGCAUUGACAACCGCCCUUUUAAAGUUUUUAUAAAUAGAAAGGAAGAGGGGGUUGGAGAUCUCAAAUGUGGUGAUGUUGGAGAGACCAAUAGAUUGGGAAGAUGUUGCAUAUGAGCAUGGAGUGAAUGAAGUAGCUAUGAAAUAAAUUCCAUGCUCAUUAAUGUUAUCUUCGUCUCCAAUCUGAAUAUUUGGAGUUUCUCCUGGAUUGGUCUCACCUAUAUCCUCUUCUGUAGUUGGAUGAAUCUCAUCUUCAAAGGGAGUCAAGAACUCAUCAUUUGAAAUUGAGCCAAAGUCAGAAUCCAUUAAGGCUUCUUCCUUAUCCAUCCAUUCUACACAUUCUAACCAUUUAGAACUUGUGAUCAAGAAAGGGGAGGUGUUAGAAUUUUCUAUAUGGCUUAGCUCUCCUUCACUUGAUAUGUCAUCCUCGACUUCUUCAUAAUAGGAACCAGGACAUUCUCUAAGAGAAACAUUAUUACAAGGAUUUGAAUUAUCCCUACUUGAAGGUCUCUUAUGGAACCAGAAGUCUAAACCAUCAGUAUCUGAAAUAUUUAAGGUCAGAAUUCCUUCCUCCCUUGGAGAAUUUUGGGGUAUUGAUGGUUUAGGAUCGAUAGCUAAAGUUUGGGAUUGAAGUGGUUGUGAUCUGGCUAUCGAAACAUCUUUUUCUUGUCUAGGAACUCGUUCUUUCUCUUUCUCAGGGAUAUAAAAGCUAGGAGACUUUCCACUUAAUAAAUCAAUCAAAUUCCAAGCUCACUAGCAGGUAGGUGGUGGAAAGAUCCUCCAGAGGCCGCAUGAAGGGUUUGCUUAUCUUCCCUACUAAGGCCCUCAAAAAAAUGAAUUAGAAGAACUUCUUCUGACACGAUCCAGCUAGACAGGGGAUAUCCACAAGUAAUCUAGGUCUAAGCACCACGCUUACACCUAUACUACAACUCUAACCUAUAGCGUCCUAUAGAUUAGAAGUACUCAAAAGAGUUGUGAACCAGAACAUACAUGAUUAGUAAUUGCAUAAGGAAUUAGAAGUAGAUUACCAGAGUCAUCCUAUGAUGAAGCUUGAUUAGAGCUUGAUCAUGACGAAGUACAACCGGUGGAAGAACUGACAGGCCGGCCUCUCCUCUAAUCCUCCUUCGCUCUCCAUCUCGCUACUAUCUAGAUCUACUCUAGUUUAGAGAAGAGAGGAGAGCUCUCAUCUCUAAACCCUAGCUUUUGCUCUGUCUAUGAAUAAUGAAUAAUGAUCAAGGGGUGCCUCCUCCAGGGGCCAGGGGGUCUGGUUUUAUAGUCCCCUCAAGUGAAUAUGGGCCGUUGGAUCAAACCGACAUAGAUUGAACGGUUAUUCUUGAUCCUUUAGGUCAGUGGAGAUCUCCCGAGAAACAGUGUCCUGUUUGGACUCCAACAGAGGGCGGGCGCCCUGCCUCUAGCCCCUCUCGGCCUCCGCUUCCUUCCCGUGGCUUCUGGAGUCUUCUAGAUGUAAGAUAAUUGCGCGGCACGUUAAUAUCUCUAUGUAAUCCCGACGUGUGGGUCUUUCUUCCGUAUUUCCUGAUAACCCCCUGCAGAAAUAGACAAACACCAAAACUCGUGGAAUUCUGUCAGAUAAAACCCUAAGUCUAGAUGUUGAUUUCAUUUAGAUCCUUUUCUUUGUUUAUUUGAUAAUUAAAUUUGAUACUUAAGGACCGUCAACAUCGGUGGUACCAGCAGUUUGCGUCGGUAGUACUGGUUGUCUUACACCAGUAGUACCGGUCCAAACUGUCGGUAGUACCGACAGGCAUUUGACUUCCGCAACUUGAGUUUUGAGUUUUAGGUUUUUAGAUACGCCUAUUCACCCCCCCCUCUAGGCUAAUUAGAUCCUUUCAAUCAUAUCGCAUUCAUACAUACAUUCUGUCUACUCCUUCCUUUAUGAUAUCAUUCCUUUUUAAUUAAUAAGUGUUGCUUAAAUAAUCCUCUCUCACCCACAGUUAUUUCCUUUCCACAGAUGGAUGUGCCCGCCUCACCCCUCCCCAGUGACACCUUUCUGAGCGAGUUUGGCACUCCUACUCUGCUUUGGAGGGUGCUGCAGUCAGUGGGGUAUAAUGAGCCACCUCAGUACUCCUGGUGGGAGGUGGAUAUGACAUGAGACUUGCAGUGGUUCACUGUGCAAGGAGUUGUCCCACCACAUGGGGGUAGGCCUACAUGGACAGGAUGGACCUGCAACUCAGAUGGGCAGACCCCAUGGGAAGCAGCUCAGGUUGUGUGAGGGUAUAAACCCCUAUACCCUUACGGCUAGGCUUGGGCCAGGAGGCUUGGCCCAUUACGAGACGAGUCCGAGGCUUGAUCCGACUGCUCGGAGUUUCGUGCAAGGAAACAAGACGUGGAGAUUAAGCAGGAUUCUAGUCGGUUAGAAUAGGAAUUGAUGUCGUACUAUCUAUGGCAAUUGUAACCGACUAGGAUUAGUUUCCACAUCUGUAACCCUGCCCUCUGGACUAUAUAAGGAGAGGCAAGGGACCCCCCUAGGACACAUUAUCUCAACACAAUUCAAUACAACCAGAUGCAGGACGUAGGUAUUACGCCCACACGGCAGCCGAACCUGGAUAAAAACCUUGUCCGUGUCUUGCGUCACCAUCAAGUUCGUAGCUUGCGCACCAUCUACCGAUAAACUACUACCAUGGGUAUACCCCAAGGUAGACUGCCGACUAGCUUUCGUCGACAGUGGCACGCCAGGUAGGGGGUGUGCGUACAGCUCUCCCGACGAACAAGAUGGUCAUCGUUCCGGCUUCCGCAGCCGUGGCUGAAGGCCUCACGUUCACCGUCAGCCAGAUCACGUGAACGACUUGUGGCGGCGGCCUCGCGACCACAAUUUCGAGGAAACCCAGAUUCAAUCUGGGACAACAGAGGCGUCGACUUUGAUCACGCCGAUUUCGACCACUCGACCCCCACUCCCUCGUUACGAGGCAAAGAGGGUCGACAACUCGGGUCUUCUCCAAGCCCUUGAUCGCGCUGACCUCAGGCUCCUCGAAGCCUCUAACUUGGUGGAUGCCAUCUCGCGCAAACCCGAUCAGGCGGCUUCAACAAACUUUUUCGACUCCUGUCGGCCAACUCGUGUCACCAUGCACGAACAGCUAGAAACGUCCCUAACGAUAACGUCGACCCCCACGGGACGGUGCGUCAAGCUCAAGACACACUACAAGAAACUUGCUAAUCCGUGACGAUUUCUUAGUGAGGGAAUUACAAACUGUCACUAACAACCACUGACACAUGUAAUCCGUGAUGAAAUUUAUUUUUUCGUCAAGGAUGAGCCCAUUGGAUAUUCCCAGCCCGCUAACUGGUGACGAUUUUAUCAGGAUCGUCGCGGUGUAUGAAUUUUGAAUUUGUCAUACUCUAAUUGGCUCAAAACAAUAUGCACGCUACCAGUAUUUAGUGCAAAGAAAAAUAGAAAAUAUGAUUGCAAAAAGUAUCAAACCCAAAAGACAAUCUGAUAAAUUAUUGUAACAAUAUAAUUUUGUUAUUACUUGUAUUUUAUUCGAACAAUUUUGCUACAAGCAUAUAUGGCAAAAUUAAAAAUAUGUUCCAUUUGCACAUUUAAACAAAAAAUUGCACCUAUAUGGGAUUUCCAUUUGACUAGUAUUUGUAUUUGUUUACCGACCCAACAUCACGGUAGGCCGCCUGGGCCAUUCACUCGACUUUAUGCCCGCCGACCACAUGGCCUUGCCCAUUUUGUAAACACAAAUAAAAAGUGCAGCCUAUAUAAAUUGAACCUGCAACACUUGACUUCAUAGAGGUGCAAGGCCAGCAAACAUUACAACUUUUUUUUAUAAAAAACAUUAUAAAUUUUGGAAAAAAGUUCACAAUGCAUCAAAAAGGAUAAUUUUUUUUUAAAACAAUACUGCUCCAGGCUUCGAACCCAGAAUCAGCCUUACAAAGCCAAAAUGCCUGACCACUGCGCUAUUCACUUGUUUAUGUUGGCUUUGGUUAUUAAAAUCUUUUUUUUAGUUUAUCGCCUUCCUUAUCAGCCUCCUCGGACGACAGUUCAUUCACGACCUUCACUUCGACUUGUGCAGCGCCGCCGACGGCGACUAUCGAAGCGCGAGCGCAAGAGCUCUGAUUCUUUUCUCAUCUCGGACGUGUUGUUGCUCCCGAACUUGCUCUCCUCCUCCUGUUGUUGCUUGUCCUGCCAUCGCCCGGCCUGGAGAGGAUGACAGGGACGCCUACCAGAUCGACCUCCGGGCCUUGUCAAUGGCGGAUGCAGCCAGUCCUUGGCCCCGCAAGGCGCCUUCGCGUGCUCCCUCCCACGAACGUGAUAUACGCGAAGAACGGCUUGAAUCGAGAAUAUGAAUAAAAGCUUUUGUAUUUUCAAUUAAUAUGCUUGUCAAUACUUGAAGAACAAGAGCAAGAACAUGAACCAAAACUUUUUCUGUUUUUAAUCUCAAGCAAAAAAAUGUAACCAGUUUUUCUCACUCAUUCGAACUCCAAAUGGUAUGUUCUUUUUUUCUAAAUUUUCCUAAAAUCAUGAUCUAUCAACUGAAAACAUGCUUUUUAAGUAAUUAUUAUUUCUUAGUUCUUCAUAUAUGGCUUAUUUUUCCAUCCAUUCAUUACUUUAUCUUCAAAUAUAACAUAAAAUAAUUUUAACAACUCAAAACUUUGUUAGAAAAUCCUAUAAUCUUUCACAAUAACAUAUUUUUGAUGUAUAAUGUUUAAUCAAAUGAUUUUGAAAAAGAGGUAUCAUGCAUUGUCUAACAAAUGGUAUAUCUCUCACACAAACUACAUGAGACAUAUACCAUUUGUGAAUAAUGUAUAGUCUCACUUUCAUAAAAUGGUUUGAAUUUUUUAUGACAAGCAUAUACACCCACAUUAUGCCUCCAUAUCAAUUCUUAAUAUUUUUAGACUACUUUAUGAUAUUAUUGUUUUUUUCUUUGGAGUCAUCAAAAUAGUAGUUCGAGUAAUGUCUAACAAAACACUUAAUUUUCCAUUGAUUUUGAGUAAGUGAGCUCAAAUACAACAUGCCUUGUUACCUAUAUAUUUUUUAAAAUUUUUUGAUAUUAUUUGAUAGGACGUGUAGUUCAAGUUGAAGUUAUUUUCUAAAAGCAUGCAAUAAUUCAUUUAAACUAUAGAAAGUAGUAAAUCGGUUUCAAAUUUUUUGAAAAAUCUAUGAGAGGACAUAUAUGCAGUCUAUUUCAUUUUAAAAAUAUAUUGGGUACAUGAAUAUAAUUGGCUUAAAAUGUUUACUUUACAAGAUUGCUUAAUCAAUGGAAAAUAAGAAAUACAUUAUUAGUAAAGCGCUCCAGCCUAAAACUCGUUAAAUAUUAGGCCCAGCGUCCUGGGCCUGGGCCGCGCAUUCGCGGCAGGCCUCGUGACCCGCCAGCCUGCUCUGUAUUUCCUGAAUCUGAACCAUCCAAUUCUGAUUGACGGCCACGAUUGCAGCAGUAGCGCAUAAAACUACCGUUCCCAUGAGCUUCCCAAACCCUAAGUUUUGUUUUUCCUUAGGCCCUCUUUAGUUCCCCACCUAAAAUUUUUUCACCCAUCCCAUCGAAUCUUUGGACACAUGCAUGGAAUAUUAAAUGUAGAUAAAAAAUAAACUAUGGUUGAAAAUCGCGAGACGAAUCUUUUAAGCCUCGUUAGUCCAUGAUUAGCCUUAAGUGCUACAGUAACCCACAUAUGCUAAUGACAGAUUAAUUAUGCUUAAUAGAUUUGUCUUGUAGUUUCCAGAUGAGCUAUGUAAUUUGUUUUUUUAUUAGUUUCUAAAACCCCUCCUGACAUUCUUCCGACACAUUCGAUGUGACACCAAAAAAUUUUUCAUCUCCAAUCUAAACAGGCCCUUAGUCUUCACCCCAAAGGCCCAAACCUAACUCAGGAACGCGCCACUGCCGCUCCCCCAUCGACCCUAACAUCGCGCCGCCAUGGCCAUAGUGCCCUGUUCCACCCACAGAGACAUCUUCGUGUCGCUCCUCUCGUGUGUCCGGCGCUGAGCCGAGUCGUGCUGCGGGAGAGUUCAACGAUGGGGCGCCAACACGGUGGCGGAGGUGAGAUCCAUGGCCUAGAAGCCUAGAUCCCUCGCUCUCAGUUUUGCUAUUUGCCAGCUGGGGCAGAGCGAACAUGAGAUCCACGUAUCCUCCUGUGGUUCAAAGCCUGCACCGGACGGCGUCGAUGGUGACUACAAGAGCACGCGCCAUUUCGUUUCCUUUUCCCGUAAGCACCCGCUCUUCACUCCAUCUGUUCGAUUAAUAACCUUUUCUUUGGUCGAUUAGGAUCAUCAGAUGAACAUUCUCCUCUGGACUAUAAUUUGUUUGAUUAAAAAAUUGUAUUUUAUCAGCUCUAAUGCAAUUAGAUCCGCUGGACUAGACUUCCUUCUAGCCCGUCUAAUGAUAACAAUCACAUUUUUAUAAUACGUCCCUUUUUUCUGUCAAUGAUUUGCUUCAUGGUCGAGAUUCAUGAUGUAGACUAUGGUGCUGAGUCAUUUUCGUUGGAUGCCGACUAAGGUGCUUUGGCCUUUUCUUUUUAUUCUCUGGUUUAUAUGGAGCAUACUUGUCUGUCACUUAAGCAAUAGUAACAGAUUGACGUAUCUUAUUCUGUCCUUUUUACCAACUAGUACUAGAUAACUGCUUGCCAUGUGCUGAAUGUUGCUUCCUAAAAGCAUAUGUGUUGCUCACUUUGUGGAAAUUUGGUUUGAAAGCAUAUAUGUUGCUGCCUAAGUAUUGUGUGGUAAACUGAAUUAUCCUGAAAUCAUAUAAAAGUGUCUAUCUAAAUACUGAAUUUCCUCAAAUUUUUAGACAGUUUGUUCCUGAUGCUUUGUUUGUGGAUCCUAAAUAGGCAUUGCAUUCUCUUGGCCGUAGAAUGAUAUUUUUCCUGAUGUUUGGUUCUCAACUGAUGUUAAUGUUGAUGGCUGGACUUGGGAGCAGCUCAACUAAAAUUUCCAUUUGACAUGUGUAUCUGCUCAUUUAUAUUCUUCAGCUGGGUUGCAGCAUGCUGUUACAUGGGCAUGUUGGGAUAGUAAAUGCCUAGACUGUUUCAUGUUGUGCAGAUAAUACAAGCAGCUCUGUUAUGUGGUUAUUUUUUAUUUUCUUGAUCUGGUUCACUACAUAUAUAUGGUUUUGACUGGCUGCUGCAGUAUCUGAAGGAGAAAGAAGACGGCGCACAAUGCCUCUGCUCCAAAGUGGGCGCCACAGAAGCAUAAGGGAACACACGGUUCACCUCUGUGUUCCCCAUUUCACCUGCCGGUAUGUACGCACUUAUUUUCACUCUACCCACUGGCGAUGUUUAGAUCAGUAUAAGAUUCAACACGCUGUGAUACUAGGUACAUCUAUCUUUUGUGUAGUAUUUUAGUAUUAUCUAUUUUGAGAUUAAGCACGCUGGUUUUAACCUACAACUACCAUAUUGAACGAAACUUACUUGUGACAAAUCCUUCAGAUAAAAUUUGAACCCAACAUUGUUUAUAUCAACAUAGUUUCUUUGUUUGAUUUUGAAAGUGGUGUAACAUCCGGUGAGCUUGUGCACCUUACUAAGAUGCUUCCAAUUCUAAUCUUCUUUGAAAGUACCUUACUGAAAUGGUUUAAAUUAUAAUGUUCUCUGAAAGUGCAGAUCUGGAACAUUUGGUGAUACAUUGUGUUGCUAGAACUUGACAUUCUGCUGCUGCAACUUGAUGAACUAUGCUGCUGCAACUUCAUACAUGGCUGCUGCUGCUGCUGCAACUUCAUGCAAUUUCGGGAACCUGUAAUUUGUUGGUGGCUUAUGUGCCAUGGUGCAUUGCACGAUGUGGUGCUUUAUGUAACUUUGUAUCUCAUCUUAUGAGAAUAAACUUGAGAUCUUAUGUGCUGCUGGAUUGAGUUCUUAUGUAAAUAAAAUUGAAUUGUUUGUCUAUGUGGGCUGUAUAUUUGUAUUUGCAAUAGUAAUGGGAUGUAUGUUGUAUGUGCUAUAAAUGGCUGAGAAAAUAAAAAAUGGCUGAAUUCAACAUGUAAAUUUUCUGAAUGCCAAUUGAAAAUGGGCUGAAUGCUAAUUGGAAAUGGGCUGGAAAUACGUCAAAAUUGCGUUGAGAAUAAGCUAGAAAAUGGCCCAUUUUUAUGUUGGGCUGUUAAUAAAUGGGCCAAUAUGCCACACAUCAUCCUUGUCAUCGUCCACAUCAUUAUCCAUGUAAGCAUCUAUGAUGAUGUGGCAUUUCAUCCGUGACGUUUACUUUUCGUCGUAGGGAAUGGACUUGGGUUGGGCUAACAGGGCAUGGGCUCAAAUGGUGAUGGUUUAAAUCUGUCACUGAUUACUUUGAUCUGUGACGGUUUUUGAUAAAUCGUCGCGAGGUUUAAUCCUUGACGCUCAAUCCGUGACGAUAUGUGGAACCAUCACAGAUGCUACAUAGUGACGGUAUUUUGGUGAUCGGUGACGAAAAUUUUUUGUCACUGAUGAGCAGGAUUCUUGUAGUGACAGCUCAAGACCAGAAUUGCCCUUAUGGUUAAAACAACUCAGCCGACCACUAUUCGCGGCACACCCAAUCUCUUUUCAGCAGGGCGGGCUUGUCGCCAGGACAAGCACCUCACCAUUAUGUCAACAUGGUAUCUAUCCGAGUCCUGCCGGACGACAAGGCUACCAGUAUGAACUCCAGCACAAGGUCCGUUCCCACCGAGGUUUUGCACUCCGAGGACGAAGAUUACGACCUGGAUUUACCACCAUAUCCUCCAGGUUUUUCUCAUUUCCCAGUCUUUCCACCUCAGCAAGGAGAUCUUAUCUUUAACGUCAGCAAUGACAAACCGGUCGUCGACGGCGAAACAGACGAGCAGAAGCAACUCCGCGAGCAGCGCAAUGCCGACCGUGCUCGGCGGCGCGCGGAUGAGGAACGGCAACUUGCGCCACACAACCUCAGUGAUGCUUUUGACAUGGUCGGAGAUCAGCCAGUCUACAAGACACCAAGCGCUAAUGUGGCUGUCGCCAUGGCAAACCUGGACCGGCUCCCUGAUACCCCGAAGUGCCAGGGCGUCCGAUCCAGUAUACGAGCACAUCUGAUCGCCGCGACGGGACAGACAGCCACCUUGCUCAAAAGGGUCCAAGCCGUCUCCUACACGGAGGUUUCUUCCGACCAGACUCAUCGUAGCCGGACUUCACCACGACCCAGCGGGCGCUAUCAUAGCCGCUCCCCCGACGGUCGCAAGAAGGUCGCUGGACACGACAACCGAGGUCAGGACACGUGCGGUUACCGCGAGCAGAGGCGCGGGCGUGGUCAGGAAGUAAACCAAGAUAGGGAUCUACGCUACAACAUUCCCCCCAAAGAUGCCCGCAACCGCAUCAACAGGCGCGCUACGGAAAGAGCGGUACACGAAAAUCUGCGACGCAUUGAGUACGAUGCUGCACACGGCCCCCCGGCCUAAGACAGUUCUCUUCACACCUUCGCCAAGUCGUAUGGCCCCGCAAUUUUAAGCUCGAGAAGCUUAAAAAAUAUGACGGCAAAGAAAACCCUGAAAACUGGAUUACUCUCUACGAGAUCGCAGUCCGGUCAGCAGCAGGAGACGAGCACGUCAUGGCAAAUUACUUCCCAGUCGUCCUUGACUAGGCUAGCCAUCAGUGGCUCCUCGGCCUGCCCGAGGACUCCUUCGACUCCUGGGAAGAGCUGCGCCAGGCGUUUAUUGACAAUUUCAUCGCUACCUGCGAACAGCCUGGGAACAAGUACGAUCUCGAGAGAAUAAGGGUCAGGAAGAACGAGCCCUUACGCGAUUACAUUCGACGGUUCUUAGAUAUGCGCCUUAAGAUUCCAAAAAUCUCUCACGACGAGGCCAUAUCAGCUUUCAUCAAGGGUCUACGCUUCCAUGAAGCACUAAGGAAUAAGCUACUACGCAAAAGGCCAACCACGGUUGCCGAGCUCCUCGCCACGGCAAAAAACUGCGCCGACGCCGAUGACGCAGAAAAGGUCAUCCAAGAAGACGCGAGGGGCACCGACCAGCCUCCUCGGCGAGACGACAGUCGUGGAUGCUUCGACAACCGGAACCCUCGCCGUGGCGACAACCGCGACCACCGAGAAGGUUGGGACAGGCGACGUGACAACCGCGACGAUUUCAGGGGCAAGCGACCUCGUGACCACGACCAUGAGGUGAACACAGUCAAGCGCCCCAAUGGGCGACGAGACUACCAGGAAGACUACAACAAGACGGUGAAAGGGCCAUGCCAACUUCAUCCCAAGUCCAAUCACACGAUGGAAGAAUGUUGCAUCCUCAAAAGCAUCUACACACAGCGGGCUGCUCAAGGGGAUUCCGCCAAGAAAAACGGGAAACAGGACAGACAUGGUCACGAAGACGAAGACGACAACCAGGAUAGGGACCCACGACACUAGUAUGUCAGUCCCACCGACAUGGUGCACUCCAUCUUCGGAGGCAAAGUUUCCAUCGAGUCUAAACGAGAGAGAAAGCUCCUGAAGAGAGUCUGCCUCAAUGUGGACAGCGCAGACGACCUGGUCGCCGACCCAAAGUUUCCUCCCUGGUCGCACAGGGAGAUCUCCUUCAACAGGAAGGACCAAUGGGCCACCAUCCCAGAACCAGGAUGCUUUCCUCUGAUCCUGGACCCUUGCAUCAAUAGUGUCAGAUUCGAGCGUGUGCUCGUUGACGGGUGCAGCUCCAUUGACAUCCUUUUCCGCAACAGCUUGCCUGCCCUUAGGCUAACCCCGGCGCAACUAAAGCCGUAUGAUGCUCAGUUUUGGGGCGUCCUUCCAGGCUAGAGUUCAGUACCCCUCGGACAGAUAACGCUGCCAGUCUAGUUUGGAACGUCGGACUACUUCCGCAUAGAGUUCGUCAACUUUGUGGUCGCUGACUUCGACGGCACCUAUCACACGAUUCUAGGCCGACCAUCGCUCACCAAGUUCAUGGCAGUUCCACACUACUCAUACCUGGUCCUCAAGAUGCCAAUAGAGAAGGGCGUCCUAACCGUCAGAGGCAACGUCUACACCGCAUACACUUGCGAGGAGGAAAGCUUCAAGAUCACCGAGGCAAUCGAUCCCUCGAUUUGUAUGGCAGAAACUGUAGCCCAAGCCAAGCAAGCUCCACCCGACCAGCUCCAGCUACCCGAGCAGGAGACUCCGAGGAAAAACUCAAAGUCCAAAGAGCACAAGGAGGUACAGUUGGUCGACGGCAGCCCUGAGAAGACGGCUCUCAUUGGGGCCAACCUGGACCCUAAAUAGGAAGACGCGCUCGUCAGGUUUCUAAGGGACAACGUAAGCGUUUUCGCAUGGAAACCCGCGGACAUGCCCGGCGUCCCACGAAACCUGAUCAAGCACUCCUUAAACGUUUCGAAGACCGCAAGACCUAUCAAGCAGAAACUACGGCGGUUCGCUCGCGACAAAAAGGAGGCUCGGCUUCUAGCAGUCGGAUUCAUUAAAGAAGUGUAUCACCCCGAUUGGCUCGCCAAUCCGGUUCUUGUAAGGAAAAAGAAUAAUGAAUUGAGAAUGUGCGUUGAUUACACUGAUCUCAAUAAACACUGUCCUAAAGAUCCUUUCGGUCUCCCUCGUAUCGAUGAGGUGGUCGACUCAAAGGCCGGAUGCGAACUCCUCUCUUUUCUAGACUAUUACUCUGGCUACCACCAGAUUUCACUAAAGGAAGACGACCGGAUCAAAACAUCUUUUAUUACUCCUUUCGGUGCAUAUUGCUACACCACCAUGUCCUUCGGACUCAAGAAUGCUGGAGCCACUUAUCAACGAGCCAUUCACCAAUGCCUCCACGACGAGAUUCAUGAUGACCUCAUCGAGGCUUAUGUCGAUGACGUUGUUGUCAAAACAAGGCAAGAGAGCACUCUGAUCGACAAACUAGACCAAACUUUUACGGCACUAAAUAAAUACAAGUGGAAGUUUAACCCCAAAAAGUGUAUCUUCGGGGUCCCCUCUGGUCUACUACUCGGCAACAUCAUCAGCCGCAACGGCAUACGGCCGAAUCCUUCAAAAGUUAAGCCGGUGCUCGAUUGCGACCACCCAAGAAUGUCAAGGAUAUUCAAAAGCUCACCGGAUGUAUGGCCGCUCUCAGCUGGUUUAUCUCUAGGCUAGGAGAAAAAGGCCUUCCCUUCUUCAAACUUCUAAAGGCGUCGGAAAAAUUCUCCUGGACAGAGGAAGCUAACGCUGCGUUCACCCAGCUCAAAACUUUCCUCACCUCACCACCCGUCCUCACAGCACCUCAACCUAAUGAGGACAUGCUACUUUACAUAGCAGCAACCGAUCGGGUUGUCUCCACGGCAAUGGUGGUCGAGCGGCACGAACCAGGCCACGUCUACAAAGUCAAGAGGCCUGUUUACUUCAUAAGCGAAGUCCUAAACGAAUCCAAGACCAGGUAUCCUCAGAUACAAAAGUUAAUCUACGCCAUCCUGAUAACCUCAAGAAAGCUGAAGCAUUACUUCGACGGCCAUCGGGUCUUAGUAACUACUAGUUUUCCCCUAGGGGACAUUUUGCGCAACAAGGUCGCCAACGGCAGAAUUGUAAAAUGGGCAAUGGAAUUAUGCCCAUUCUCCCUAGAUUUCCAGAGUCUCACUACCGUCAAGUCCCAGGCCCUGGUCGACUUCAUCGUGGAAUGGACGGACCUCAACGAGCCCCCCCCUCCGGAUACCUCCGACCACUGGUCAAUGUUCUUCGACGGGUCCCUAAACAUCAAUGGCGCCGGCACUGGGAUACUUUUUGUAUCACCAAACAAGGACAAACUCCGCUACGUCCUUAGGAUUCUCUUCCCGGCAUCUAACAACGUCGCCGAAUAUGAAGCAUGCUUGCAUGGCAUCCGACUGACUGUCGAACUGGGAGUCAAACGUCUUUACGUCCACGGUGACUCUGCCCUGGUCAUCAACCAGUUAAAUAAGGAAUGGGACACAACUCAUGAGAAAAUGGACCUCUACUGCAAAGAAAUCCAGAAAUGGGAAUCCGAUUUUUUCGGCAUCGAAUACAUCCACGUGGUCCGGGACAGGAAUCAGGCAGCAGAUGCGUUGUCGAAGAUAGGAUCAUCUCGGGCCCAGGUCCCGCAGGGUGUUUUUGUCCAAGAUAUUCACACCCCAAGCGUCGGUACAGACCUGGUCGACAAGCCACCCAAUGAGGCGAUGCUCAUAGACGAGACUACUCCAACGACCAGCAACCACGACUGGCGCACUCCCUUCAUCAAGUACCUAUCAGACGGUUCGGGAUUCCAAGAUAAAACGGAGAACGAGCGCCUUAUGCGGCGGUCUAAGAAUUACAUACUGGUCGAUGGCAAACUUAUGCGUAAGAACGUAAGCUCAGAAGUAUUGCUGAAGUGCAUAUCCCAAGAUGAUGGCAUCAAGCUACUGGAUGAUAUACACGCCGGGUCCUGUGGCAACCACGCCACCUCCAGAACACUGGUCGGGAAAGCUUUCCGAGCAGGUUUUUACUGGCCAACAGCAGUUACCGAAGCUGAGAAACUAGUCAAGCAUUGCAAAGGAUGCCAGUUCUUCGCCAAGCGGACCCACGUACCUGCUCACGAGAUCCAGACGAUUCCGUCGUCUUGGCCGUUCGCUUCUUGGGGCCUCGACAUGAUCGGGCCAUUCAAGCCGGCUCUUGGCAACUUCAAAUUCGUGUUUGUACUAAUCGACAGAUUAUCAAAAUGGAUUGAGUACAUGCCACUGGUCAAAGCAACUUCCGAGAAGGCUAUGGAGUUCCUCAAUCAAAUCAUACACAGAUCGGAGUUCCUAACAGCAUAAUUACUGACCUGGGCACCCAGUUCACCGACACUACAUUCUGGGACUUCUGUGAUGACAGAAGCAUAGUCAUAAAGUACGUGUCGGUAGCCCACCCGUGGGCCAACGGUCAAGUGCAGCGAGCAAAUGGAAUGAUUAUCGAUGCUCUGAAGAAAAGGCUGUAUACUGAAAAAGACAGAGCACCAGGACGAUGGAUAAAAGAGUUACCAGUUGUGGUCUGGGGUCUCCGAACGUAGGCUAGUCGAAACACGGGUAUAUCGCCCUACUUCAUGGUUUAAAGCACCGAGGCAGUGCUCCUUUCGGACGUGGUCUUUGGAUCUCCAAGAGUUGAACAUUUCGACUAGCCUUCGGCCGACCUCGCCAGAGAGCUCAAAACCAACUGCACAGAGGAAAAGCGCCUAAUCUCAUGCCUUCGAACAGCGAAGUAUCUCGAAGCUAUCAGGCGGUACCACAACAGGAACGUCAAAGAUCGCUCCUUCGUGGUCGGUGAUCUGGUACUCAAAUGGAAAACAAACCAGGAAGGAAUGCACAAGUUAUCUACACCUUGGGAAGGUCCCUUCGUGGUCGCCGAAGUUACACGCCCUACAUCUUAUAGACUGGCAUACCCAGACGGAACACGCUUACCCAACUGCUGGCACAUAGAUAAACUGCGCCGUUUUUAUCCCUAAGCUCCAGUACACUUUAUUUGUAAAUCUUUUAUGAUGAGUAAUAAUAAAAUUUGUCUUUCUUGCUAUGUACUUUUUUUCAUACGCAGAACAUUCGACAAGUGCUACAACUACUAUCAAGACAAAGGUCCUCAAAGGUCGUCAACUCGACUCAGUGAUGCAUCACUCAAACAAUGUUACAACGCUCAAAACCAUGGUUAUGAUAAAUUAAGCUUUAUUACAAACUUUAUACACUAAGUUUACAAUAAACACCCCUCUGGGCGGUCUCUAGUCUACUCCUACAGACUACUUUACAGGCCUACUCCUCGGGCUGAUCACCCGCACGGUCCUACUGUCCAGUCGAAGGGGUCGGGGCCAACGGCGCCUGGCUGGUCGAGACCGCAGGUGUCGACCGCCCAUCUCCUGCAAUGGAUGCCCCUAACAACUCCCUAGCUAACCUGUCUGAUCCAGGUUGGUUGAGGGGAGUUGACGUCCCACAGAGGUUUAUGUCGCCGAUCACUGUCGACGACAGGUCGAGUAGGCCGACAUGAAGGUCAUCUACCUCCUGCGGACCAACCUCCUUGGAUACCCCCUCUCCAGCCAGGACAGAUCAACCAGAGGAUAGUGGGCACGUACCAUGCUGAGGACGUGUGCUUCGGCGAACUCUCCGGCGUCCAUGACGAACUGCUGCAGCCAACCCCACGCUUGUUGCGCCUUCUCGACCGGAGUCAGCCACGGUGCGCGGGGCUGGUCUUCGGGGAGCUCGGGGCUGAUCAAGUCGAGCACUGGGGCUACUCCUUUCCAGAUCUUGAUACAGUUGGUCUUCUAGGAGUCCCGUUCCUUGACCAGCUCGUCGAGGUGCUUCUUGGUGUUAACUUUAAGCACUAUGAUAAAAUUUCCAAAGAGAACCAAGCCAGAAGUCAGUACAAACAUGGCAAGAGGAACAUUGCGUAGUCAACAAAAGGGCGAAACAGCUCUUACCAGCCAAUUCUCGACUCUUGUCCUUCAGCUCCUCGCCAGCCCGGCGCCCGGCCUCCAGUGCGCCGGUACGCUCCUGGUCGAGUCGCUCCUUUUCCUCUCGGAGGCGCAAAACCUCCUCCAGAUCUGUAGAAAUAGUCGCUGGUCAACAAAACCAAUUGCGCAGUUCAACUACAGCUGCUCGGAACGCAUGACUUACCUUUUUUCUCCCGAUCCUUGUUGGCUAGUCGUCAGUUAAGAUCGAGCAGGCGCUCUUCCUGAGCCGCCUUCUCGGCCGCUUUCUCCUCGGCUUCUGACCGAAGGCGGUCCGCCUCUGCGGCUAGGGCCUUAUUCUCAGCCACGAUCCCUUCAAUUUGGUCGAAGCACCUUUUACGGUACUUCGCCGUUUGCAUCGCGCCCUGCAAGAAGUAAACGUAUUGUUCAAUGGACAAGCAAACAGUACAUAAAUUUUCUGGCUGAGCAGAGGACCACUUACCUUAACCUCAUCAACGAGUCACUUAGCUACGCGCUCCACCCUCGCGGCCUCCUCUGUCUCCGCGAGUUCUUCAUACCAAUGAAGUGGUCCCCACGUUGGCGCCACACGUAAACGUGCUGGCGACCAUCAUGGGGGCGACACUAGAUUUCUUCCACUUCAUCGUCAGAGGCUGCCUGGGUCUCCUCGCCCUCUGUGCUACCACCAGUUGUGGUCAUGGGUAUCACUGGACCCUUACCCCGGCUAGGGGAGCCCUUUGGCGAAGAGGUUUCUGCUCGGGGCGGGGUUGGGGCCCUCUUUUCAUCUGGCGGGGGAGUCGGGGCUCUGUCUCCCUCCUCUGUGACACUGCUCGGGGGGUGUCCUUGCGGCCUCAUCGUCCCUCGUCAGUGUGCCCGCCCCGGUCCUUGCUUGAGCUGGGCUCUCCUCGGUAGUCUCCGCCACAGUCACCACCGUGGGCUGCUCCUCGAUUGGUGCCUAGGUGGUCUCCUCGCUGGGGUUUUCAAUGACAACCGCUGGCUCAGCCAUUUUCUAGCCGGCGACGUUGCCCGGAUCAACAUCUGACGCCGCACUAGCAAAAGAAGAUAUCACGCUGACAUCACAAACUCGCAACAAAAAAAAAACAAACAAUAACAAGGAGGAAGUGUAGAAGACGGGUUGUAGAACUCACAGGUCGGAGCGCCUGUGCGUCGCUGCGAAGAACCUCCUCCUGGUCCUACCAGUCGCCGCUACUGCCUCUGCCCCUCCACGUUGCGUCGGCUCGGUGUGCGGGGUCGGAGGAUCACUGGUCUCCCGACCAGCGGUGGCCGACGCAACGUCAGGUCGACUGCGUGGUCUCCGGACCAAAGAUGGCGCAGCCUCCUCCUCUUUGUCUUUGUCGUCAGUGUUCCUCACGAGCCGACGACGUUUCAGAGCUUGGCUGGUCUCUGCCGGCAAUGCCUCCGAAGGGGUUGGCUCUGCGGCCAUUGGCCUCUUCGCCGCCACCCUGUCCUCGGUGGUCGGCGCCGGCCGGUUUUUCUCUUCCUCGCUGCUAUUGUAUUGGGGACACCGAGCAGCAUCGUCUACUGCUGGGUCCAUCUCAGCAGGCUGCUCCAUGCUAGGUGCCAGUGAUACAUACACUGAGCACCGGUCAAUGUCUCCAAUCUGCAGUAGAACCAACAACAAGUCAUCAACCAAGAAACAACAGUUAUUCACAUGACGAUACAUAUCGGUAACAGUGCUCGUUUACCUUAGGAGCUGGUCGUCCUAGCUUGAAGGCGUGCAUCUGAUCAUCGCUCUGAACGAAAUUGUCAUCAGACAAGUUGAACAACUCAUUCAUCAGCUGCUGGACCUCCGUCUUCUCCAGACCACUCGGGCACAUCCUGGUCGGGUCUUGACUCCCAGCGUACUCAUACGCCGAGUGUACCCUCCUCUGGCAGUGCAUCACCCGUCGUACAAGGAAAUUCCCGACCACUCCUGGCCCGUCUAAGCGGGACCAGUCGAUCAGGAUCAUCAGCUCCGCCACUUGACCGUCAUACUCUUGAUGAUCUGUCCAGCUGACCCUCUUCUUGGGGAUGUAGCCGACGUCACAGAACGUGGUGCUACCCGGCUCCUCCCUGAUGUAGAACCACUUCUUCUACCAUUCGGUGAGAGAAGUGUUCCAUGGGCAGCUGAGGUAUCGGUUCUUCAUCCCGUCGCGCAGAUUGAGGUAUACUCCACUUGCAAUCUUGGAACCGCCAACUGCUCCUUUCUUCCGCAAAUAGAAAAGAUAACGGAAGAGGUCGAAGUGCGGCUCUAUUCCAACAUAGGCCUCGCACAAGUGGAUAAAGGUAGAAAUGAGGAGAAUGGAGUUCAGGUGUAGGUUGCAGAUCCCGAUCUCAUAGUAAAGAAGAAGGCCCUGGAGAAAAGGAUGGACAGGAAUCCCAAAGCCCCUCUUGAAGAAAUCUUCAAAAACAACAAUCUCACCGGCGCGGGGGUCGGGGUAGCUCUCCCCCUCUGGCGCCCACCAGCCGCCGAUCUCCUGGUUAUGUAGCAGACCCAUUUCGACGAGGUCGUUGAGGGACCUCGUGCUGCUCCGGGACUUCUUCCACUCCUUGGCCAUCAACUCGGCCCUUUUCUUCGAUUCGCUUUUCGCCAUUGACACCGGAGAAAGAACUUUGAGCUAGAAGUUAAAGAUGGCAGUCGCAGGAGGUAGGAAUGGCAAAGGCAGAAGGUUUGUAGGCAAAGGCUGGGUAAAGAAUAUGGAUGCUGCAUUGAGCUUUUUAUAACAGCAGCUCCACCUCUACCACUUCCCGCGUUAUGGGGAAGUGGGCAGAUCUUGCGGCGGCUGUGGCGCUUCGGUUCUCAAUACUUAUCACAAUUAAUAUGGUGACUUUUCCGCAUAAUUGAUGGUUUCCAUGUCUUGGGCUGCGCAAAGAGCGGGUGCACAGUUACCAGGCGAGCCUUUUUACGCGACAGCCUGACAAUGUACCAGGGCGCUCUGUCACAUCACACAUUAAUACGGCGAUAUGUUCUUUUCAAGAAAGAGAAGUGAGUCAGUUGGUGGAACAGGCGUGACAUACUCGACUGACUGCAUCGACCACCGAGCAUCACAAGCUCAGGGACUGGUCGACUAGUCUGCUCCUUUGACAUUUCGAUUGAUUGCACCGACCACCGAGCAUCACAAGCUCAGGAACUGGUCGACUAGCCUGCUCUCUUGGCAUCUACAUUGUUUGUACCGACCACCGAGUGUGGUACGCUCCGGGAAUGGCCGAUUAGUACACUCGUCUGAAAGUCUGGGGACUGUACCGAGCAUGUUUUGGUUCCCAACCAUGCUCGGGGACAAGUCGAUCAUGCUCUAUGGCAUGCUCGGGGACUGUGCUGACUAACAAUUGUGUUCGGAGACUCAUCAGUCACUCCCUGUGCUGUGCUCGGGGCUUGCCUUGAUCACUCUCCAACCACAAAUUGGGGACUGUUCUUCUCAGUUACAUAUGAAUUGGACUCAUAUACAACUGAGGGGUAGUUUUAUUUUUUAGACCUUGCUACAAGGCUCAUACUUCGCCUUCCAGCAAGCUCGGGGACUACAUCGAUACGAUGCAUCUGGCGAUGCAUCUCAGUUUUAGAAUUUCUAUGAACUUUUUUGACCCUGGCACCACGUGCCUACGUCACCUACUACUAAGCUCGGGGACUAAGUGGGCACAUUUCACCUUGCGGUGAACAUGCUUGCUUUUUAAAAGUUUGUACUUUUCAGAAAAGUAAAGUGGGCACACUUCAUCAGAAAAAAAAUAUUUUUUGAUUUAGAGCACCAUGCAUUCUUCGAACAAUCGGCUUCUUCGACGUUGAUGUUUGUCGACUGGUUUUCAAGUUGGCCGGAGUACCGCUGCAACUGCUCGGGUAAUUUUCCUGGUUGUCAAAGAUGUCAAGUCUUGUUGGUCGAAGAAGCUCAAGAUGGCGUGUUGCAUUACAAUACAUGGUGCUCGGAGACUAGCUGUGUGGGUAUAAACCCCUAUACCUUUACGGCUAGGCUUGGGCCAGGAGGCUUGGCCCAUUACGAGACGAGUCCGAGGCUUGAUCCGACUGCUCGGAGUUUCGCGCAAGGAAACAAGACGUGGAGAUUAAGCAGGAUUCUAGUCGGUUAGAAUAGGAAUUGAUGUCGUACUAUCUAUGGCAAUUGUAACCGACUACGAUUAGUUUCCAGAUCUGUAACCCUGCCCUCUGGACUAUAUAAGGAGAGGCAAGGGACCCCACUAGGACACAUUAUCUCAAUACAAUACAAUGCAACCAGACAAAGGACGUAGGUAUUACGCCCACACGGCGGCCGAACUUGGAUAAAAACCUUGUCCGUGUCUUGCGUCACCAUCAAGUUCGUAGCUUGCGCACCGUCUACCGAUAAACUACUACCGUGGGUAUACCCCAAGGUAGACUGCCGACUAGCUUUCGUCGACAGGUUGCAGCCCAUGGCAUGCUGCUCAACAUCUGUUAGAGGGUUGGUGAUGAGCUGACAGGAGGGCUAGUGGCCUCCAUUCCCAUGCUGACCUAGUAGCAGCGGAGUGGAAGCAGGCUGAUGGAUGUGCGUUGGUCCGAGGUCGAGGAGAGCGAGCUAAGAGCUCCAGUCCUGCUAUGAGCGCUAUGAUGGUUGUGCUCAAGCUGUUUAGUUAGUGAGAGGACACCUAUGCGCACAUGAUGGGUGUUGUUCGCCAGGCUCAGGAGAUACAACAAAAGGCUAAAAAGCGUGCUCACAAGUUUCGCAAGCAAGCUAGAUGCUUGGAGCAGGCCCAAAAGGACCGCAAUGAUUCGGAGGACAUUGCGGAGUAUUGUAGGUAGCAGUGGGUGAAGGCCACUAGGGAGAGAGAUCAUAAGCAGGUGCAGAUGAGUCAGUUGGCUAGGGAGAAGGAGACCGUGCAGGAGCGCUUGGUGCAGAUCACUAAUGAGAGGGAUACUGCACUACUUGUGUCGGAGAACAGGCGCCGGGCAUGGGAGAUGCACCGUGUCCAAUCGGCGGAGUGGGAGAACUAUCUACAGGAUCAGAUUGAGGCUGGUCUUGUGGAGAUUCACCACCUCAACAACUUGCUACACCCUAUUCCCCAUCCUACACCAGUGUACCCGGAGGUGGGAUCUCAGGUGAUCGUGGCUGAUGACGAUGGUAUGGAGGUAGAUGGACCGGCCGCGGCUGCACCACCCUUGCAUGAGGACAUGGAGGACGAGGAGCUUGAGCCGGUUAGCGACGAGGAUGGAGAGGCGAUCUUUGACGCUGACUCGGGCGACGAGCCUGGAGUGUAGUGGGUAGUUGGUAACCGUCUUGUGAGGUUCUUUUGUAGUUUGACGUGUGGCAGUUGUGCCCUUGUAAUCAUGAUGUAAUCCUGAACCUUGAUCUAAGACUUGUGUCUGUGCUAUGGUGAUGUAAUAACUUUAUGGACCAAGAUGUUGUAAUGACUCUAUCAUGUUUGAACGGCUGUUGAUGAUAUUUCCCUUUGUUGUGUGUUUUAUGGAUAUCUGUGUCAUGUGCUGUGAUUGGUGAUGUUGUUUUGUGGAAUUGAAUUAUUGUGCCUCUUUCUAUAAAGUUAUUCCCUCGAAUACUUUCAGGCAUGAUUAUAAGUUCUUAUAUGGCAAAUCUUAUCAUCAUCAAUACUCACUGACUGUGUCUUUACAGAUGUAUAGAGGCACUUGAGGUGCGGGAAAUCAUGCAAACAUGGAUCCACCCCCUCCUCCUCCACCACCGAAUCUAGAAGGGCUGAUGAAGCAAUGGUGGAAAAUCAGAGGUUGCUGACAGAGACUAUCCGUCAGAUGGCAAAUCAGGGUGGUCGGGACGUACAACAUGGGCCAGCACCUAAUUAGCACAACAAUUUUAAGGAUUUCAUGGAUACCAAGCCUCCAUGUUUUAGAGAGGCUGAAGAACCCCUUCGGGCAGAAGAAUGGCUGAACAUGGUGGAACAGAAGUUCCGCUUACUUCGGCUGACUGAAAGUCUAAAGGCGGAAUAUGCAGCUCAUCAAUUGUAGGGUACGGCUGGUAUCUGGUGGAAUUAGCAUAGGGAGGCUCUUCCAGAUAACACUAUGGUUGACUGGAAUCUCUUCCGUGAAGCUUUCAAGUGACAUUUCAUACCUCCUGGGGUCAUGGAGAUGAAGCACACUGAGUUUAUGCAGUUAACUCAGGGCAACAAAACUCUGAAGGAGUAUUUGCAUGCUUUUAAUCAUCUGUCAAGGUAUGCCCCUGAGUUUGUGAGCACUGGAUCAAAGAAGAUUGCUAGCUUCAAGAGGGGUCUUGGCCCCAAGUUGUUGAAGACUAUGGGCUGCACUAAGUGUGCCACCUUCAAUUAGCUUGUCAGUGAUGCUCUUACCCAAGAGAAUUACAACACUGUGUAUACUGCGACCAAGACUCGCAAACUAGCAUUUGAGGCCAGGGAAGGGGCAUCUCAGUCCAAGGCUCCAGUGGCAGCUAGGCCCCAGUAUUGUGCUCCAACUCCUAAUAUGCGAUACCGUCCUCCAGCAAAGAAGAAUCAAGCAAAGACGGGGUUUCGCAAAGGGUACUCCAUUGCUCUUCCUAGGGGGAACACUGGGCCUAGCUAUGCCAAGACUCCGCCUAACAACAGUCCACGCUGGAACUGUAAUCAGACAGGGCAUUGGCAAAGCAACUGUCCUUACCCACCAAAGAAGGGCAACCUAGGGAACGUCCGUCAGGGGCGUGUUCACUACACUACAGUAGAAGCCAUCCCUGCUGGUGAGGUAGUUAUGGCUGGUAAGUUCUUGGUUAACCAAUGUGAUGCACUUGUGCUUUUUGAUUUAGGAGCAUCGCAUUCCUUUGUGAGUUUAGAUUUUGUGUCUGAGCAUAAUUUCAAGGCAGUUACACUUGAUAAAGGCAGUUAUCGCAUUAGUGCCACUGGAAAUAAUAUUUCUACAAAUCAUGUGGUUUUGGGGGCAACUCUGGAAAUAGGAGGCUGUCAGUUCCUGGCUGAUCUGGUUGUUUUGCCCGGUGUGGGUAUAGAUGUAAUUCUGGGAAUAAAGUGGAUGAGUGGUAACGGGGUUCUCAUCGACACCACUACUCGCGUGGUGAUGCUGAGAGACCCUGGUACUAAGGAGGUGUUCUUAGUGCAACUUCCUCGUGAUAUUCAUAUCCAUAGCACAAUGAAUGCAGUUACAUCUAGGGCCAUCAAGGAUAUUCUGGUGGUGUGUGAGUUUCCGGAUGUAUUCCCUGAUGAUUUGCUUAGGCUUCCUCUAGACCGGGAUGUGGAGUUCAAAAUUGAAUUGCUUCCACGUACUGCACCUAUCUCUAGAAGACCAUAUAGAAUGCCGCCAAAUGAGCUAGCUGAGCUUAAGACCCAGUUGAAUGAACUAUUGAAGAAGGGUCUUAUUCAUCCUAGGUCUUCUCCUUGGGGUUCUCCAGCUGUUGGGUAUUUUAAACGCAAAUAGAAAAAUCUGCAAGCGCACGGAUACCGAUGUAGCCUUCACCCAAGAGUAUUCCAGAGUAUCGAUUUUCCACAGAGAACGUGAGUGUACUAAUUAAGAUCCAAGAUCGCCCAAGGAUAACUAUGUAAUUAUUUUUGGUGGGAAGAGAGGAAGUUUCCUGAGAGUUCUCUAGUUGAUCUAAGAAUCAUGAAUUACUUCAAGAUUAUCUAUAUCGGGACAUCAGAGCACUAACCACAGAAAGAGAUGAGAAGGGGGCUAGGAAGGUCUGACCACGGUCCUACAAACACCGAUCCGAACGAGGUGGAAUACGUCGACCGUUAGGGCUGUCACUACCCUAAGGCUACCACAACAAUCCGCAGGAUUGGGUGCAAUUCCAGGUAAUUGCAAGACUAAACACCAUGUCUAAUCUAUUAAUUACUACUCUAGCGUUAUAAAAACUAGAGCACUUGAUGCAAGCGGGAAUCCAAUAAAUAACUUGAAUGUAAAUAAAAGUAAUUAAAGAACUCAGGAAUUGUGAAUUAAAGAACCUGGAGAACGAUGAAGAACGAACCAGAUGCUGCAAAAGUACAAUGUUGAGAAAGAUCCGACAGACCCGGCUCCUCCUCCGCUCUCCUCUUCUCUCUCCCUAUUUUCUAGAUUACAACUAGAACUAACUAGAACUAGAAUUAGAGGAACUAGAACUAGAACUAGAACUAGAUGAACUAGAACUAGAUCUAGAUGAACUAGAGGUAGAACUAGAAGAACUAGAGGGAUCCUCUCUACUUGGAUGAAGAAUGAAACCCUAGCAUUGAUUCUGUAGAAGAGGUAUGAUCUCCAGGGGCCAGGGGGCCUUUCUUAUAUAGUCUAUUCAAAUGAAUCUGGGCCGUCGGAUCAAACCGACAUUAAUCGCAUGGUUUUCCUUGAUCCUUUAGGUCGGUGGAGCGUGGUCUGCGAAUCGGGUCCGAUUUGGACACUGUAGCUGGGCGGGCGCCCUAAGGACUUGGGCAGGCGCCCUGUCCCUGAGUCCUCUCGGCCUCCGCUUCGUUCCCGUGGCUUCUGGAGUCUUCUAGGUGAUAGAAAAUUGCGUGGCACGUUAAUAUCUCUAUGUAAACCCGACGUGUGGGCCUUUCUUCCGUAUUUCCUGAUAACCCCUGUUGACGGUCCUUAAUGCUCACAUUUAACCAUCAAUUAAUCAUGGAAAAGGAUCUAAAUGCAACCAACACCUAGACUUAGGGUUUUAUCUGAUAGAAUUCUAUGAGUUUUGGUGUUUGUCUAUUUCUGCAGGUGGUUAUCAGGAAAUACGGAAGAAAGGCCCACACGUCAGGAUUACAUAGAGAUAUUAACGUGCCGCGCAAUUUUCUACCAUCUAGAAGACUCCAGAAGCCACGGGAACGAACGGGAAUGAAAUCGGGCUCGGAGGGAGGGCGCCCGCCCAACUCUCCUGGGCGCCCGCCCAGCUAUAGUGCCCAAUCAGGACACGUUUCGCGGAUCAUGCUCCACCGACCUAAUACUUCAAGGAAAACCACACGAUCAAUGUCGGUUUGAUCCAACGUUCCAGAUUCAUCUGGAAAGACUAUAUAAGCAAGGCCCCCUGGCCCCUGGAGAUCAUACCUCUUCUACAGAAUCAAAGCUAGGGUUUCAAUUCUUCAUCCAAGUAGAGAGGAUCUCUCUAGUUCUUCUAGUUCUACCUCUAGUUCAUCUAGAUAUCUAGUUCUAGUUCAUCUAGUUCUAAUUCUAGUUCCUCUAGUUCUAGUUCUAGUUAGUUCUAGUUGUAAUCUAGAAAAUAGGGAGAGAGAAGAGGAGAGCGGAGGAGAAGCUGGAUCUGUCGGAUCUUCCUCAACAUUGUACUUUUGCAGCAACUGGUUCAUUCUUGAUUGUUCUCCAGGUUCUUCAAUUCAUAAUUCCUGAGUUCUCUAAUUACUUUUAUUUACAUUCAAGUUAUUUAUUGGAUUCCCGCUUGCAUCAAGUGCUCUAAUCUUUGAAACAUUAGAGUAGUAAUUAAUAGAUUAGACGUGGUGUUUAGUCUUGCAAUUACCUGGAAUUGCACCCAAUCCUGCGGAUUGUUGUGGUAGCCUUAGGGUAGUGACAGCCCUAACGGUCGACGUAUUCCACCUCGUUCGGAUCGGUGUUUGUAGGACCGUAGUCGGAGCUUCCUAGCCCCCUUCUCAUCUCUUUCUGUGGUUAGUGUUCUAAUGUCCCGAUAUAGAUAAUCUUGAAGUAAUUCUUGAUUCUUAGAUCAACUAGAGAACUCUCAGGAAACUUCCUCUCUUCCCACCAAAAAUAAUUAUAUAGUUAUCCUUGGGCGAUCUUGGAUCUUAAUUAGUACACUCACGUUCCCUGUGGAAAAUCGAUACUCUGGAAUACUCCCGGGUGAAGGCUACAUCGGUAUCCGUGCGCUUGCGGAUUUUUCUGUUUGCGUUUAAAAUACCCAACAAGCUUUCUGGCGCCGUUGCCGGGGAACGGUAGCUGUGCUAGUUUCGAACCAAGUCGUCCGUGUAUCCUUUUUCUUUUCCUUUUUCACCACACUCACCUUAUCAUUUUCACCAUACCACAUGGAUUUCACUCGAAGCAUUAAUGAGCAUAGAAUUUAUUUCAUAGCCACUUUAUUUACUCCAUGCUCAUAUGCAACAUCUUCACAAUCCAUUUGUCUCUCCAACAUCACCACAUUCGAGAUCUCCAACCCCCACUUCCUUUCUAUUUAUAGAAACAUUAAAAGGGCGGUUGUCGAUGCAUAUGUCUAUAUCAAAUAUUGCAGAUCUCGUUGAGUUGAUCUUGAUAUAGGUCAGCGUUGGAGGGGGAACCACUUCGCUGACAUAAAUUGAUGGUUUCCCAAGGACAAGCUUAGUGUCCUAAAACAAGCACUGAUCAGAUUGUAACAUGAGCUUUUAAUUAUUUGCAACAUACCUUGUGUAUUGAGCAUAUAAGGAUAAUUGUAAAAAAUAUUCCUUCGGGUAUUCUUGUCACUAACCUUUCCAGGAUUGGAGCAAGAAGAUCGGAUGAAUGACAAGCACAAGGUAUGUCCAACCAAUCAUCAUACAACAUUUAAUUAAAUUCAUCCAAACUUGAAUUUUGCAAAAUUCAAGCUUGGGGGAGUACUUUACAUAAAAACAUUCUUUGCCAUGUUGCUAUGUUGGUUGUCCCUACCUUUGAGACAUGCUCAAUUUGUUAAAUAGUAAUCACACUACUUCAUCUCCACUUGAGUAGAUCUCUAUAAAAGCCAUCACGCUACCUUUGUUUAUCUUAGCAAGUGUUAGUUUGGAAGUACUGUACAUACUUCUAUUGGUUUUUAAAUUAAGCAUGGUGCUUAGGUUAAACAGCUUUCCUUAAUCUAAUUAGACAUGGAGUCUAGUUUGGUUAUUGAACUAAAAACUGCUUGUGUAGACAUUGGUAUAUUUUGUCAGACUAACCCCUGCAGAAAAAAAAGAAAACUUUCAAUAUCGACCUGGGAAGUCCUGAGAUAAACUCAUAUUGGAGACAAAGAGAGACACACAUGAAGUUUAACAAUUUACACAAGGAAGACAUAGCUCACAAGAGAUGAUCCAUGGAGGGUGCCACCAACACGAUGCAUAACCGCAAAGAAAGGAAAGCUUCCAUAAGGUAAUACUGUACCAUCACUCUUCAAGAAAGGUAACAUCUUAAGGUACUUGACUAUCACUUCUAUAAGCUUCUCCUUAUUUCUGGCAUUCACAUGAGUAAAAGAGACAAACAUGUAAGAUUUACAACUCUAGAUUAACCAACCCAAUCGAUUCAAUAUGUUUAGUCCUUCCACCUUUGUGAUCCCACACUCCUAAUCAUAUGAGCUAAAAUAUUGCACACUCAAUCUUUGGAAGAUAUAUAUAUAUAUAUAUAUAUAUAUAUAUAUAUAUAUAAACAUAAGUAUAGAUAGAUUAUCUUUCCAUUAGGUUGAGUGAUCUGAUCUAACAAAUGUUUUAAAUGCUACACUCAUGAUCUUAUUAUCCAUCAACUGUGUCUUGCUCACGAUGCUUAAGGAUAGAGAAGAGCAAAUACACUUUUGGUUCUAUUGGUGUUUUCCACCAACAGGGCCCAUGCACUUGAUCUCUGCCUUGUCUCUAUGAGCAGGUACACUUCAAGCAAGAUAUGAGGGACUUUUAUAACUCCCACACUCCACCAAGUGAAGAACCUAGAUCUACGAGCACAAACACACUGGAGAUAUUGGACACUCAGGCAAUCACUACCCUGAGAUGCUUGAGGACAUAACUACUGGAGUAACCCUGUUGUGGAAGUAAUUACUGACCUUCUGCCGGUCAAGAGAUACAACCCAGGACGUCCCGUCAUCCCGAUCUCCAUCGGCAUGGUGGACUUCCUAGAAGCACUCUGCAACUUUGGCUCCAGCGUCAACAUUAUGCUCCGGGUACUCUAUGAAAAAUUCAUUACACAUCCUUUCCUGGAAACAACCAUGUGUUUGCAGCUUGCAGAUCAGACACUAAGUUUCCCAAAGGGAAUAUUGAAGAACCUCUACGUCCGAGUUGGUACCUUAUACGCUCCAGCAGACUUCAUGGUGAUAGAGAUUGAUACUGAUGAGAGGGCACCCAUCAUCCUAGGGAGGCCAUUCCUGAACACCUCGGGAGCUGUCAUCUACGCUAGUGCUGCCAAGAUCAGUUUCUACAUCAAGGGAAGGACAGAGACAUUUUCCUUCAAGAACAAGACUACACAAAUCUUAGAGCAAUCCUGACAUGAACCAAGGAAGGACCAACAGGAGGAACAGGAACAAGCAAAUGUGGACCAAGUCAGCUAAGAUGGUCACUGCAGUUCAAGGAGGUCAACACCGUCGACUUAAGUCAUCGUUCCUGACCAAAAAGGACGACCCAGUCACCUAUCAGCUCCUAUUCGGAACCAUACCCCUGAAACCGACAUACAUUUAGCUCCAGAUGGCAGAUCAGACAUUCCGAAAGAUUGAAGACAAGUACGAUCCACCCAUCAUCCUCGGAAGACCGUUCCUCAGCACCGUUAAAGCAAUCAUCUACAUUGGAACUAGAGAAGUCCACAUGCAUUUCCCCUCUGAGAAGGUACGCCGCUAUUUUACUGACCCUAACUAUAUAGUUGAAGACUCUAAGCAGGUCAGGACAAGAAGAAGACGACGCAACCGUAACCAGAGGAGGCGAAUCAUCAAGGACGGAUGGGCAGACUACGAAGGAGAAGUAGUAAUGUCUGAAGACAUACAACUUGAACAGAACUGUCCUAAGGAGACCGUAGCACCGAGUUAGGUGUGCAGAGAGAAGAUAGUUAUACAUGAAGAGGAGGCACCGCCGGAACCACCGACUACGCCAUCUAGCAAAUCCCAGGACGACUCAGGAAACGGAGAGUCCCGUUCGGAGGACUUAAAAACACCGAACGCCUUGCCAAGAGGUAAACUUGGUAGUUAUAUUUUUUCUUUCAAUUAUUUAAAAUAGUUUGCUUAGUUAAUCAGGUUCACAUCAUCUUGAGAAGAAAAUAAAAAUGUUGAAGAUAGUAAGCCCCAUGUGAGUGUGCUCAUGGCAUAAAACCCAUAAGUACAUUCACUGUGGUGGCAUAAAAAUGAAAUAAAUAUAUUCCUGUCCUAUAAAAAUAAAAUUAUAAAAAUAAAAUUAUGAUCCUACUAAUGAGUAACAUUUAUUGAGGAGGCUCAACAUGAUAAAGGCUAUAUAUUUAUGCUAACACUUAACUAGUUCCACAAAGCUUUGUUGUUUAUUUGAGCUCCACAGAAUUCAAGGAUCAAAGAAGACUAGCAGACGAUGGACAUCCUAAUCGCUGUCAGGGUGCUGCCGACAUUCAAAUACACCUCCACCACCUGCUAGCUACAUCAGAAGAAAUUACAUCAAAAUCCAGCUUGGGGGAGAGCACUUCCAUUUAUCCAGCUAAGUGUUUCUACUCGCGAUUAUACUUUACUCAAAUAAUAAAAAGAUGCAUAAUCAUAAAAACCCAAAUAAAGAUUUUGUGCUUAUAUAUAUCUUUGCUUAGUUUGCUGAAUAAAUAAAUAAAUAAAUAAAGUUUGCUAUGAACCCUCAUGAUAAGCUCUGACAUGGAAAUGAUGAAUAAUUGCUCUGCCAUGGCUAGUUCUCAAAAUUGAAAUCUCUCUCAAGUUUAGGCAUGACUUGUAUUAGUUAAGAUUUGCUCUAAACCUGAACUUGUGGGGAGAGUACUUGAUUUGAAGUCUAAGUCGUUAACGGAUAUGAUAUGGGAAGGUUGAGCUACUAUUUAUCUGUUCCUAGAGAUGCUAGAAUUCUGGAGAACUUUAUCUUUGAAAAUCUUUAAAAUGUUGCAUGAUGAGUUCCUGUAUGAUGAGAGUUUAAAUUCCUACCACAGCCAUAUAUACAUGCUUGCUAGACUUUGAGCCACACAUUUACUUUUUACUGCUUAUGAGCAUUGAGUGUGGUCAUGCUGUGUAGACCCUUAGGAGCUUGUCAUGUGGUUAAGUCAAGAUUCAUUUGCACGUUCACUCACACAUGCUGCUUCUACUCCGGAAGUACGCAUCCACAUAUAUCUACCCAUUUCCAUCUCCAGAAUUACCUAAAAGUAUUCUACUCCUAAUCCGGGAGAGAAUAGCCAAAAACAUUUUCCUAUUUCUGUUUUCCCCUGUGAAAUAAAUGCUCAAGUUAUCUUGGUUACUACCACUUGCUAUAUUAUUUCAGGAGAUGAGUGCUCUAAAAAAAAGAGAGAGAAAAAAAAAGAAAAAAAAUACGAGGAAAUAAAAAGGGGCAAGUGCCCGGAACCUCGAGAGAAAGAAAAAGUGAGACGAGAGGUAAAAAUGGACAAGUGUCCGACAGUAGAAUUAAGGGUACAAGAUACCCACGUGAGAGAAAAAGAAAAUAUAGAGCAUCUCAUUCUCCUCAAAAAGUUUCAAAAGAGCAAGAAAGGUAUGUAUCCCCUCAAAAGAGCACAAGUAGAAUUAGACUUUCACCAUUGUUAUUACCAUCAUCACCAUACAUCAUUCAUUCGCCACACAUGCACAUCUUGAUUUGACUUAUGGACUUGUUCUUCUAGAUCCAUGGUUUGACUAUGCAAUAAAUGUCUUGUAAGUAUGUAUUAGCUAUCUCCCACCUAUGAGCUCCAGAUAUCAAAACCUUAUUAGAGUAGGGUGAGAGAGAAGGCAAUGCCACUAUGCCUCUUACCAAAAAUACUACAUACUUUGAGAGAAGGCAUAUACCAUUACUGCCUUGGUUAGGAUCCAGAAAUACCACAAAAGAGAGACUAGAGAGAGUCAUACAAGGAAUCUCUGAGUUUUAUUUGAAAAUCUGCAAAAACUCCAGAGCUAUAGUUAAUCGAAGAACAAGAGACAUGGUACUUGACUAGACUGUUCUAUCUUUUAACUACUCAAGACAGAAGUGGCGGUUACAAGUCCCAUGGUGAAAGGUAAAAUGAGUAAGUUAUAAAUCUUAACAGAUUACCCUAACCCAGAGAUGAGAUCUUGUUUGAACGAAUGUGUAUUUUUAAGGCAUAAAACCACUGCAGAAACUCUUGAGUCCAUCUUUGCUCAGGGACGAGCAAAGGUUAAGCUUGGGGGAGCUUGUUGAUGGUCCUUAAUGCUCACAUUUAACCAUCAAUUAAUCAUGGAAAAGGAUCUAAAUGCAACCAACACCUAGACUUAGGGUUUUAUCUGACACAAUUCUACGAGUUUUGGUGUUUGUCUAUUUCUGCAGGGGGUUAUCAGGAAAUACGAAAGAAAGGCCCACACGUCGGGAUUACAUAGAGAUAUUAACGUGCCGCGCAAUUUUCUACCAUCUAGAAGACUCCAGAAGCCACGGGAACGAACGGGAAGGAAAUCGGGCUCGGAGGCAGGGCGCCCGCCCAACUCUCCUGGGCGCCCGCCCAGCUACAGUGCCCAAUCAGGACACGUUUCGCGGAUCAUGCUCCACCGACCUAAUACUUCAAGGAAAACCACACGAUCAAUGUUGGUUUGAUCCAACGGCCCAGAUUUAUCUGAAAAGACUAUAUAUGCAAGGCCCCCUGGCCCCUGGAGAUCAUACCUCUUCUACAGAAUCAAAGCUAGGGUUUCAAUUCUUCAUCCAAGUAGAGAGGAUCCCUCUAGUUCUUCUAGUUCUACCUCUAGUUCAUCUAGAUCUAGUUCUAGUUCAUCUAGUUCUAGUUCUAGUUCCUCUAGUUCUAGUUCUAGUUAGUUCUAGUUGUAAUCUAGAAAAUAGGGAGAGAGAAGAGGAGAGCGGAGGAGGAGCCGGAUCUGUCGGAUCUUCCUCAACAUUGUACUUUUGCAGCAACUGGUUCGUUCUUCAUCGUUCUCCAGGUUCUUCAAUUCAUAACUCCUGAGUUCUCUAAUUACUUUUAUUUAUAUUCAAGUUAUUUAUUGGAUUCCCGCUUGCAUCAAGUGCUCUAAUCUUUGAAACAUUAGAGUAGUAAUUAAUAGAUUAGACGUGGUGUUUAGUCUUGCAAUUACCUGGAAUUGCACCCAAUCUUGCGGAUUGUUGUGGUAGCCUUAGGGUAGUGACAGCCCUAACGGUCGACGUAUUCCACCUCGUUCGGAUCGGUGUUUGUAGGACCGUAGUCGGAGCUUCCUAGCCUCCUUCUCAUCUCUUUCUGUGGUUAGUGUUCUGAUGUCCCGAUAUAGAUAAUCUUGAAGUAAUUCUUGAUUCUUAGAUCAACUAGAGAACUCUCAGGAAACUUCCUCUCUUCCCACCAAAAAUAAUUAUAUAGUUAUCCUUGGGCGAUCUUGGAUCUUAAUUAGUACACUCACGUUCCCUGUGGAAAAUCGAUACUCUGGAAUACUCCCGGGUGAAUGCUACAUCGGUAUCCGUGCGCUUGCGGAUUUUUCUGUUUGCGUUUAAAAUACCCAACAACCCCCUGCAGAAAUACACAAACACCAAAACUCGUGGAAUUCUGUCAGAUAAAACCCUAAGUCUAGGUGUUGGUUGCAUUUGGAUCCUUUUCUAUGAUUAGUUGAUGGUUAAAUGUGAGUAUUAAGGACCGUCAACAAGCUCCCCCAAGCUUAACCUUUGCUUGUCCCAGAGCAAAGAUGGACUCAAGAGUUUCUGCAGUGGUUUCAUGCCUUAAAAAAUACACAUUCAUUCAAAUAAGAUCUCAUCUCUGGGUUAGGGUAAACUGUUAAGAUUUAAACUUACUCAUUUUACCUUCCACCAUGGGGCCUGUAACUGUCACUUGUGUCUUGAGCAGUUAAAAGAUAGAAUGGUCUAGUCAAGCACCAUGUCUCUUGUUCUUCGAUUAACUAUAGCUCUAGAGUUUUUUUGCAGAUUUUCAAAUAAAACUCAGAGAUUCCUUGUAUGACUCUCUCUAGUCUCUCUUUUGUGGUAUUUCUGGAUCCUUACCAAGGCAGUAAUGGUGUAUGCCUUCUCUCAAAGUAUGUGGUAUUUUUGGUAUGAGGCAUAGUGGCAUUGCCUUCUCUCUCACCCCACUCUAAUAAGGUUUUGAUAUCUGGAGCUCAUAGGUGGGAGACAGCUAAUACAUACUUACAAGACAUUUAUUGUAUAGUCAAACCAUGGAUCCAGAAGAACAAGUCAAUAAGUCAAAUCAAGAUGUGCAUGUGUGGCGAAUGAAUGGUGUAUGGUGAUGAUGGUGAAAGUCUAAUUCUACUUUUGCUAUUUUGAGGUGAUACAUACCUUCCUUGCUCUUUUGAUACUUUUUGAGGAGAAUGAGAUGCUCUAUAUUUUCCUUCUUUUUUUUCUCUCAGGUGGGUAUCUUGUAUCCCUAAUUCUACUAUCGGACACUUGUCCAUUUUUACCUCUCGUCUCACUUUUUCUUUUCUUUCGAGGUUUCGGGCACUUGCCCCUUUUUAUUCUUUCACUUUUUCUUUUAUUCUUUCUUUUUUUUCUCUUUUUUUAUUAGAGCACUCAUCUCCUGAAAUAAUAUAGCAAGUGGUAGUAACCAAGAUAACUUGAACAUUUAUUUCAUAGAGGAAAACAGAAAUGUUUUUGGCUAUUCUCUCCCGGAUUAGGAGUAGAAUAUCUUUGAGUAGUUCUGAAGAUGGAAAUGGGUGGAUAUAUGUGGAUGCGUACUUCCGGAGUAGAAGCAGCAUGUGUGAGUGAACAUGCAAGUGAAUCUUGAUUUAACCACAUGACAAGCUCCUAAGGGUCUACACAGCUUGACCACACUCAAUGCUCAUAAGUAGUAAAGAGUAAAUGUAUGGUUCAUAGUGUAACAAGCAUAUAUAUAUAUGGCUGUGGUAGGAUUUUAUACUCUCAUCAUACAGGAACUCAUCAUGCAACAUUUUAAAGAUUUUCAAAGAUAAAAUUCUCCAGAAUUCUAGCAUCUCUAGGAACAGAUAAACAGAAGCUCAAUCUUCCCAUAUCAUAUCCGUUAACGACUUAGACUUUAGAUCAAGUACUCUCCCCACAAGUUUAGGUUUAGAGCAAAUCUUAAUUAAUAACAGUCAUGCCUAAACUUGAAAGAGAUUUCAAUUUUGAAAAUUAAUCAUGGCAGAGCAACUAUUCAUCAUUUCCAUGUGAGAGCUUAUCAUGAGGGUUCAUAGCAAACUUUAUUCUUUUAUUUAUUUAGCUAACUAAGCAAAGAUAUAUAUAUUUAAGCACAAAAUCUUUAUUUGGGUUUUUAUGAUUAUGCAUCUUUUUAUUAUUUGAGUAAAAUAUAAACGUGAGUAGAACAUUUAGCUGGAUAAAUGGGUGUGCUCUCCCCCAAGCUGGAUUUUGACGUAAUUUCUUCUGAUGUAGCUAGUAGGUGGUGGAGGUGUAUUUGAAAGUCAGCAGCACCCUGACAGUGAUUAGGAUGUCCUCCGUCUGCUAGUCUUCUUUGAUCCUUGCAUUCUGUGGAGCUCAAAUAGACAACAAAGCUUUGUGGAACUGGUUAAGUGUUAGCAUAAAUAUCUAGCCUUUAUCAUGUUGAGCCUCCUCAAUAAAUGUUACUCUCUUUAGUAGGAUCAUAAAUUUAUUUUUAUACUUUUAUUUUUAUAGGACAGGAAUAUAUUUAUUUCAUUUUUACGCCACCACAGAGAAUGUACUUAUGGGUUUUAUGCCAUGAGCAUACUCACAUGGGGCUUACUAUUUUUUAACAUUUUUAUUUUCUUUUCAAGAUGAUAUGAACCUGAUUAACUAAGCAAACUAUUGAAAAUAAUUGAAAGGAAAAAGAUAACAACCAAGUUUACAUCUUGGCAAGGCGUCCGGUGUUUUUUAAGUCCUCAAAACGGGACUCUCCAUUUUCUCAGUUGUCCUGGAAUUCGCUGGAUGGCGUAGUCGGUGAUUCCGGUGGCGCCUGCUCUUCGUGUAUAACUAUCUUCUCUCUACACACCUGACUCGGUGCUACGGUCUCCUCAGGACAGUUCUGUUCAAGCUGUAUGUCUUCAGACCUCACUACUUCUCCUUCGUAGUCUGCCCAACCAUCCUUGAUGAUUUGCCUCCUCUGGUUGCGGUUGCGUCGUCUUCUUCUUGUCCUGACCUGCUUCGAGUCUUUAGCUAUAUAGUUAGAGUCAGUAAAAUAGCGGCGUACCUUCUCAGAGGGGAAGUGCAUGUGGACUUCUCCGGUUUCAAUGUAGAUGAUUGCUUUAACGGUGCUGAGAAACGGUCUCCUAAGGAUGAUGCGUGGAUCAUACUUGUCUUCAACCUUUCGGAAUGUCUGAUCUGCUAUCUAGAGCUGAAUGUAUGUCGGUUUUAGGGGCAUGGUUCCGAAUAGGAGCUGAUAGGUGACUGGGUCGUCCUUUUUGGUCAGGAAUGGUGACUUAAGUUGAUGAUCUUGACCUCCAUGAACUGCAGUGACCAUCUUAGCUGACUCGGUCCACAUUUGCUUGUUCCUGUUCCUCCUGUUGGUCCUCUUCCUUGGUUCAUGUCGGGAUUGCUCUGAGAUUUGUGUAGUCUUGUUCUUGAUGGAAAACGUCUCAUUCCUCCCUCUUGAUGUAGAAACUAAUCUUGGCAGCACUAGCGUAGAUGACAUCUCCUGAGGUGUUCAGGAAUGGCCUCCCUAGAAUGAUGGGUACCCUCUCAUCAGUACCAGUCUCUAUCACCAUGAAGUCUGCUGGGGCGUAUAAGGUACCAACUUGGACACAGAGGUUCUUCAAUAUUCCUUUUGGGAAACUUAGUGUACGAUCUGCAAGCCUGGGCAUAAUGUUGACGCUGGAGCCAAAGUCGCAGAGUGCUUCUAGGAAGUCCACCAUGCCGAUGGAGAUCGGGAUGACAGGGCGUCCUGGAUCGCCUCUGAGUAGUUUGGCCUCUAUUGAUUCCAACCUUGAUUUUGUUGAGGACUGUUGUAGUAGUAGUAGUUGUUGAAGUAGUUUACGUCCUCAAGCAUCCCAGGGUAGUGAUUGCCUGAGUGUCCAGUAUCUCCAGUGUGUUUGUGCUCGUAGAUCUAGGUUCUUCACUUGGUGGAGUCUGGGAGUUGUAAAAGUCCUUUAUAUUUUGCUCGAAGUGUACCUGCUCAUAAAGACAAGGCAGAGAUCAAGUGCAUGGGCCCUGUUGGUGGAAAACACCAACAGAACCAAAAGUGUAUUUGUUCUUCUCUAACCUUAAGCAUAGUGAGCAAGACAAAGUUGAUGGAUAAUAAGAUCAUGAGUAUAACAUUUAAAACAUUUGUC
rnacentral:lncRNA from 1 species